AGAAGGAGGAGGAGGAGGAGGAGGAGGAGGAGGAGGAGGAGGAGGAGGAGGAGGAGGAGGAGGAGGAGAACUUAUGGCUGCCACGGACUUCUUAAGUAAAGGUCGUGGGUAGCCCUCAGCCACGCAGCGCAGGGUUACACUCUCCCCUUCAUUGACGGUGGUGUCUGAAGAUGUCUGGUCGUUGAUAAUAUCCGGGGGCACUGCGGAAGGUAGGAAUGGCACUGGUCAGCAGCAACAAAAUUAUAAG